CCUCAUCCACCUCCAGCGCCGCCACGCCCUGCAACGCCGCCGCGCGCCGCCGAACUCCGCCCCGUCGUCGCCCCGCCGGAAUCCGCCGGAACUCGACCCGCCGUCGCGCCGCCGCUCAAGCCCAGCUUCUGGAUCGGGUCAACGCGGUGGCUCGAGCGGCUGGGGGCGGAUCCGGCGAGGAGGAGGCCGGAGUCGAGGCGGGCCACGCCAUGGGAGGAGGCCGGAGCUCGAGGGGCACGGUAAUGGGUGCGGCGGGGCGGAUCCGGCGAGGAGAGACCGGAGUGGAGGUGGGGGCACGCCAUGGGAGGCUAGCAAAGCUUCGGGCAGCACCAUCCAUAGUGGUUGCUACCUGUGGGAGAAGAGGAGGGAGAUUUUGAGAAAGAGAGAGAGACAGGAGUAAAGAGAGAGGGAAGGGAGAGGAAGGAGAGAUGGCCGGAGGCGUGGUCAAUGGUGAAGGUCCGGCGGCGCGCGGAGCGCGCUGCCCGCCGGUGGACACCCAAUUGUGCGUGAACCCGCCGAGGACUGACCUCGCCACCUCCGUGCCUCCCCCAGGAUCUCCGUCACUGCCUCAUGCUGCUGUGCGCAAAGAUACUGCUGCCUCUCCCUGGUACAUCCAUCUCCACUUCCUCGGGGCGCUGCUCACCGGCUCAUGACCUGAUAUGGAAUUGACGUUUGCGCACACAAGUUCCCCUGUCUGGCUCUGCCGGCUCCCGUAGUUGAGCAGAGCCAGGAGAUCGAGAGAGGAAAUACUCACUUGAUUUUGCAAAUUAUGUUGGGCAUGGAGAUUGAUCUGUUAUUUUUGGUUGUCCCUAGAUUCAAGGAUGACAGCGCCCAAACCUUUCCCUGAUGUUUGGGCAAAGGCGUGUGUCUGAUGUGCAGCAAAGCGACGAAACAAUGGUCGAUGGUUAUGUAUCUCGCGGGACUCGACGGUUACAGUUUCGGGAGCAGCACUGUUGCUUGCUAGCAUAUUUUUUUUCUUACAUAUAUGAACUGAUGAUGCUUUAUUUGGUGUUGUUUCCCAUGGCAGUACAUUAUGGCUUUGUUGACGAUGAUUUCUGCUAAUGUGCACACAGCUGAGGAAUAGACCCGGCAAGGAAGAGAGCUACACCAAUGUAGUCGGUGGAAUUAACAAGCAAAGUAAAUCCUGAAGCUCCUGGUUGUAACAAGAGGAAGUCGAUUUGUCAGUGGAAACAUAGCUGCAAGGAAGCGAUAUCUCAACUUUGACGUUACUUAAGCUUUUGGAUUUCAGAUUUAGUUGCCAUCACCAAACUGGUAUGCAAUUGAGUUGCACUUGAGCGCACAAGCUGAUUUCUAAAUAUCGCACAGUACUAUAGUUGUGCUCCACUAAAUAGCUUAUAUUCGAGCAGUCUUGCGGAAUAGUUACAGUGAAGAAAAAGCUUGCAAGAUUGAUUUGAUUUGCUGGUUUUUUGAGUGGCGCUACCCCUAUUAGGCUAAGUAGAAGCACUAUACGACGACUAAAGUACACCAGAUUACCUUCUCUGGUUUUGUAAUUUGUUGUUUGUUAUUUUUGGAAUUAUUUUGGGUACAAGGAAAGAAGUGCCAGAGAACUGCCAUUGUUUCGUGGUAAAAUUUACUAAUGUUGGUAUUUCUUUUCAAGAUUAUAUUAUUGUUUGCCCAUUUGGUCCUUGGAUGUUCUACUGAUUUUUUUUCCAAUUCCUUGUGGAUAAUUUGCUUCGGAUCAUCAGACUACCUAGGGAAACAUGCACAUUCUUUAUCUCACCCCCCUCUUUAUCUAAAGAUAUAUUGGGCAUCAGUCCACCUGUCAUGAGAUCUCUGAAUUUUGGAGGCAUGUUGUAUUUUCUGAAUUUCUUGCAGAUAUUAUGCUUGGACUCACAAAUGCAUGUAAUGCUUCCACUAGAGGUUUGUUCUUCGUUUCUUCUAUGUUAUUCCUCUUUCAAGUUUUUGGUCCUUGAAAAGUAAUAGUACUUGCUAGGUUUUCUAGGUUCAUUUUUUGUGUGGUAGAAGCUGAAUGUAUAUGGCCUGAAUUUACAUAUCAGAGUGUAUGAGUUGAUUAAGGGUAUGGGAGAGAACAAUUGUCAUCCUCAAAUAACACGCGUCGUCACUAAGUUUCUUAUAUUUACCAAUUGAAACAUGUCACUAAGUUGCUACUGAUGUCACGGUGUCCAUAAUGCAGAACACAUAAUAAGUUAAAUCAAGCCAAUGAUUUUGUUCUUUUAGCCAGAGUCAGGUUCAGAGUUGUUCACACUGAAUUUUCUGGGCACAUCCAUAAGCAAGCUAGCACGUAUUAUUUAACUGAAGCAGAGGGCGGCUAAGCUAUGAAUGCUUCAUUCUUUGUUCUGAACAAAUGCAGCUACGACUUUAUAUUUUGAAGAACCGGCACCUGAGUGUGUUCUGUUUUUAUAGCCUGCAGAGUCUGGAGAGUAAAGCUUGUACAUUUUGUAAACCAUUUUGUUCCAGUUUCCCUUGGUAUACAAGUCUAUACUGUAUCGGGUUUUGCCAUUGCCGAUCAUGUACUUCUUUCUGUGCUAGACCGGUAUAAGUAUAUUUAGCUCAUGUACACAUGGCAUUUGGAUUGAACCAAAGAAUUUCAUGUUGAUGACUACAUAUAUACCUGAACAUGGUGGCUUGAACUUGGUUAUUAUUCUUGGACAUGAUGCUGGAAUAAUUCUUGAAGUUUCAUA